CCGAGAAUUUUUCACAAUGGGCGAAAGCCUGAUGGAGCGACGCCGCGUGGGGGAUGAAUGGCAUCGGCCCGUAAACCCCUGUCAUUCGCGAGCAAUGCCUUCCCGAUAAUACCGGGACGGUUGAUCGUAGCGAAAGAGGAAGGGACGGCUAACUCUGUGCCAGCAGCCGCGGUAAUACAGAGGUCCCAAGCGUUGUUCGGAUUCACUGGGCGUAAAGGGUGCGUAGGUGGUGAGGUAAGUUCGAUGUGAAAUCCCCGGGCUCAACCCGGAAAAGGCAUUGAAUACUAUCUUGCUCGAGGUUUGGAGGGGGGACUGGAAUUCUCGGUGUAGCAGUGAAAUGCGUAGAUAUCGAGAGGAACACCGGUGGCGAAGGCGAGUCCCUGGACAACACCUGACACUGAGGCACGAAAGCUAGGGGAGCAAACAG
rnacentral:rRNA from 1 species